CAAGAGUUCACAUCGACGGCGGUGUUUGGCACCUCGAUGUCGGCUCAUCGCAUCCUGGGGCUGGAGCAGGUCCCAAGGGUUUGGCUGUUCGCCAAUUAAAGUGGUACGCCGGUACGUGAGCUGGGUUUAGAACGUCGUGAGACAGUUCGGUCCCUAUCUGCCGUGGGUGUCGGAAAAUUGAGAGGAGCUGCCCCUAGUACGAGAGGACCGGGGUGGACGUAUCUCUGGUGGACCUGUUGUUGCGCCAGCAGCAUAGCAGGGUAGCUAUAUACGGAAGGGAUAACCGCUGAAUGCAUCUAAGCGGGAAGCCCCCCUCAAAACCAGUUUUCCCUUGAGAGUCGUGGAAGACCACCACGUUGAUAGGCCAGAUGUGGAAGCGUGGCGACACGUGAAGCUGACUGGUACUAAUUACUCGAUUGUCUUGAUC
rnacentral:rRNA from 13 species